GAAGAUUGGACAUCGAGUUAGAGGAUCGGUCAACGUGUCGGUAGAAGGCUCGUGCCGCGAAUUCAAGCAUCGGGCUGAAGGAUCAGACAUUAUGCUAAGGAGAUCGAAAGUUACAGGAGUUAACAUGCCGAUUAGGCAAUACACCAAAGCAGAGGAUGAUGCACCGAAAGAUCGAAUGAGCACCAGAUGAACCGAUGAUAUGCCGGAC
rnacentral:lncRNA from 1 species